UACGUAGGGUGCGAGCGUUGUCCGGAAUUAUUGGGCGUAAAGGGCUCGUAGGCGGUUUGUCGCGUCGGGAGUGAAAUCCCCGGGCUCAACCCGGGAACUGCGUCCGAUACUGGAAGGCUUGAAUCCGGGAGAGGGAUGCGGAAUUCCAGGUGUAGCGGUGAAAUGCGUAGAUAUCUGGAGGAACACCGGUGGCGAAGGCGGCAUCCUGGACCGGCAUUGACGCUGAGGCGCGAAAGCCAGGGGAGCAAACGGG
rnacentral:rRNA from 1 species